ACUCCUACGGGAGGCAGCAGUGGGGAAUAUUGCACAAUGGGGAAACCCUGAUGCAGCCAUGCCGCGUGUGUGAAGAAGGCCUUCGGUUGUAAGCACUUCAGUAGGAGGAAGGUAGUGUAGUUAACACCUGCACUAUUUGACGUUACCUACAGAAGAAGCACCGGCUAACUCCGUGCCAGCAGCCGCGGUAAUACGGAGGGGUGCGAGCGUUAAUCGGAAUUACUGGGCGUAAAGCGCAUGCAGGCGGCCUGUUAAGUCAGAUGUGAAAGCCCGGGGGCUUAACCUCGGAAUUGCAUUUGAAACUGGCAGGCUAGAGUCUUGUAGAGGGGGUAGAAUUUCAGGUGUAGCGGUGAAAUGCGUAGAGAUCUGAAGGAAUACCAGU
rnacentral:rRNA from 1 species